UACGUAGGUGGCGAGCGUUGUCCGGAUUUACUGGGCGUAAAGAGCGCGCAGGCGGUCGUUCAAGUCGCGUGUGAAAGCCCCCGGCUCAACUGGGGAGGGUCACGCGAUACUGAUCGACUCGAAGGCAGGAGAGGGUAGUGGAAUUCCCGGUGUAGUGGUGAAAUGCGUAGAUAUCGAGAGGAACACCUGCGGCGAAGGCGGGUUGCUGGGCUGACACUGACGCUGAGGCGCGAAAGCUAGGGGAGCAAACGGG
rnacentral:rRNA from 1 species